rnacentral:rRNA from 1 species
UACGAAGGGGGCUAGCGUUGCUCGGAAUCACUGGGCGUAAAGCGCACGUAGGCGGCUUUCUAAGUCAGGGGUGAAAUCCUGGAGCUCAACUCCAGAACUGCCUUUGAUACUGGGAAGCUCGAGUCCGGAAGAGGUGAGUGGAACUCCGAGUGUAGAGGUGAAAUUCGUAGAUAUUGGGAAGAACACCAGUGGCGAAGGCGGCUAACUGGUCCAGAUCUGACGCUGAGGUGCGAAAGCGUGGGGAGCAAACAGGG